GACAGAGGUGCCGAGCGUUAGGCGGAAUCACUGGGCUUAAAGCGUGUGUAGGCGGGCCGUUAAGUACCUUGUGAAAUCCCCCGGCUCAACCGGGGAACGGCUGGGUAUACUGGCGGCCUUGAGGCACCCAGGGGCGAGCGGAACAGGCGGUGGAGCGGUGAAAUGCGUAGAUAUCGGAAGGAACAUCAGUGGCGAAAGCGACUUCCUGGACCAGUACCGACGUUCAGGCACGAAAGCGUGGGGAGCAAACAGG
rnacentral:rRNA from 1 species